rnacentral:rRNA from 1 species
CGGAGGAAAAGAAACCAACCGGGAUUGCCUUAGUAACGGCGAGUGAAGCGGCAAAAGCUCAAAUUUGAAAUCUGGCGUCUUCGACGUCCGAGUUGUAAUUUGAAGAAGGCAACUUUGUAGCUGGUCCUUGUCUAUGUUCCUUGGAACAGGACGUCAUAGAGGGUGAGAAUCCCGUGUGGCGAGGAUCCCAGUUAUUUGUAAAGUGCUUUCGACGAGUCGAGUUGUUUGGGAAUGCAGCUCUAAGUGGGUGGUAAAUUCCAUCUAAAGCUAAAUAUUGGCGAGAGACCGAUAGCGAACAAGUACAGUGAUGGAAAGAUGAAAAGAACUUUGAAAAGAGAGUGAAAAAGUACGUGAAAUUGUUGAAAGGGAAGGGCAUUUGAUCAGACAUGGCGUUUGCUUCGGCUUUCGCUGGGCCAGCAUCAGUUUUAGCGGUUGGAUAAAUCCUCGGGAAUGUGGCUCUGCUUCGGUAGAGUGUUAUAGCCCGUGGGAAUACAGCCAGCUGGGACUGAGGAUUGCGACUUUUGUCAAGGAUGCUGGCGUAAUGGUUAAAUGCCGCCCGUCUUGAACCACGGACC